UGUACAAAGCGGCUCACUCAAGGGCGGUCUGGCUCACUCCCGAUAGAAAGGGGGUGAGAAAAAUGUCAACUUAUCAGAGUUUAACUUUGAUGUUUAUGUUCGGAAUGUUCAUUCUGGCAUUGUUGACAUAUCUAAAAAAGAAAUAGACCACCCUUGAGACCUGGAAAGUUACAGGGGUAGUCUAUUUCAAUAGAAAAGACACAAAAGAGCUUUGGCCGCUAUUGGCCUGCUUUGUGCGAUUGACUCGACUGUUCCCAGCAGUCGGG
rnacentral:sRNA from 1 species